rnacentral:rRNA from 1 species
UACGGGGGGGGCAAGCGUUGUUCGGAAUUACUGGGCGUAAAGGGCUCGUAGGUGGCCAACUAAGUCAGACGUGAAAUCCCUCGGCUUAACCGGGGAACUGCGUCUGAUACUGGAUGGCUUGAGUUCGGGAGAGGGAUGCGGAAUUCCAGGUGUAGCGGUGAAAUGCGUAGAUAUCUGGAGGAACACCGGUGGCGAAGGCGGGUCUCUGGGCCGAUAUUGACGCUGAGGAGCGAAAGCGUGGGGAGCGAACAGG